CAGUCGCCACGGUAAUACGUAGGGUGCGAGCGUUAAUCGGAAUUACUGGGCGUAAAGCGUGCGCAGGCGGUUGUGUAAGACAGGUGUGAAAUCCCCGGGCUUAACCUGGGAACUGCAUUUGUGACUGUAGAGCUGGAGUGCGGCAGAGGGGGAUGGAAUUCCGCGUGUAGCAGUGAAAUGCGUAGAUAUGCGGAGGAACACCGAUGGCGAAGGCAAUCCCCUGGGCCUGCACUGACGCUCAUGCACGAAAGCGUGGGGAGCAAACAGGAUUAGAUACCCGUGUAGUCCCUGUCUCUUAUAU
rnacentral:rRNA from 1 species